UACGAAGGGGGCUAGCGUUGCUUGGAAUUACUGGGCGUAAAGCGUGCGUAGGUGGUUCGUUAAGUCUGAUGUGAAAGCCCUGGGCUCAACCUGGGAAUGGCAUUGGAUACUGGCGAUCUAGAGUGCGGUAGAGGGGUGUGGAAUUCCCGGUGUAGCAGUGAAAUGCGUAGAGAUCGGGAGGAACAUCUGUGGCGAAGGCGACUGCCUGGACCAGCACUGACACUGAGGCACGAAAGCGUGGGGAGCAAACAGG
rnacentral:rRNA from 1 species